rnacentral:rRNA from 1 species
AGGAUAAACGCUGGCGGCGUGCCUAACACAUGCAAGUCGAACGUCUCUUUCUUCGGGAAGAGGAGUGGCGGACGGGUGAGGAACACGUGGGAACCUGCCCUUCAGUGAGGAAUACCGGCGAGAAAUCGCCGACAAGACCGCAUAGCCCUCUCUGGUGAGAGCCAGAGAAGGAAAGCCUCGCAAGAGGCGCUGGAGGAGGGGCCUGCGUCCGAUUAGCUAGUUGGUGGGGUAAGAGCCUACCAAGGCGUCGAUCGGUAGCUGGUCUGAGAGGACGAUCAGCCACACUGGGAUUGAGAACGGCCCAGACUCCUACGGGAGGCAGCAGUGAGGAAUUUUCCGCAAUGGGCGCAAGCCUGACGGAGCAACGCCGCGUGCAGGAAGACGGUUUCGGAUCGUAAACUGCUUUUCUCGGGGACGAGAACGGACGGUACCCGAGGAAUCAGCCCCGGCUAACUACGUGCCAGCAGCCGC